GGGCCCGCACAAGCGGUGGAGCAUGUGGUUUAAUUCGAUGAUACGCGAGGAAGCCUUACCAGGGCUUAAAUGCAUAAUGACAGGGGUAGAGAUACCCUUUUUCUUCGGACAUUUUGCAAGGUGCUGCAUGGUUGUCGUCAGCUCGUGCCGUGAGGUGUCAGGUUAAGUCCUAUAACGAGCGCACCCCUGUGGUUAGUUGCCAGCGAGUAAUGUCGGGAACUCUAGCCAGACUGCCGGUGCAAACCGCGAGGAAGGUGGGGAUGACGUCAAAUCAUCACGGCCCCUUACGCCCCUGGGCCACACACGUGCUACAAUGGCAGGUACAGCAAGCAGCCACUCCGCGAGGAGGAGC
rnacentral:rRNA from 1 species